AUUGCACUUAGGCAGUCUUUGGCAAGAUCUGAAUCACGGAGCCGUCACGUGACUUAAGUCACGUGUCUGCAAGGGGUGAAUACAAAAGGAGGCGCCCGGAAAUUGCAUCAGUUGUUCAGGCCUCCUGCUCAGCUGAUGUGAGUAUGUGAGUUCAUGCCCUGGUGGAGCAGGACGCUUGGUUGACCACAGCUGUGUGGUCCCACAGGCCCCGGUGAGCGCAGCCUUAUAUGCAGCACUGUACGUGAGGGCCAAGUCAAGAGCCUGAGAAUGGACCUCAGCCAGUGCUUCCCUGGCAGCUCAUAUGUCUUUCAGGAAAAUU